rnacentral:rRNA from 1 species
CACGUAGUUAGCCGUGGCUUUCUGAUUAGGUACCGUCAAGAUGUGCACAGUUACUUACACAUAUGUUCUUCCCUAAUAACAGAGUUUUACGAUCCGAAGACCUUCAUCACUCACGCGGCGUUGCUCCGUCAGGCUUUCGCCCAUUGCGGAAGAUUCCCCUACUGCUGCCUCCCGUAGGAGUCUGGACCGUGUCUCAGUUCCAGUGUGGCCGAUCACCCUCUCAGGUCGGCUAUGCAUCGUUGCCUUGGUAAGCCGUUACCUUACCAACUAGCUAAUGCAGCGCGGAUCCAUCUAUAAGUGACAGCAAGACCGUCUUUCACUUUUGAACCAUGCGGUUCAAAAUACUUAUCCGGUAUUAGCUCCGGUUUCCCGAAGUUACUCCCAGUCUUAUAGGUAGGUUAUCCAGUGUUACUCACCCGUCGCCGCUAACAUCAGAGAAGCAAGCUUCUCGCCGUUCGCUCGACUUUGCAUGUAUUAGGCAACGCCGUCCACGCGUUCA